GUGAGGAAUAUUGGUCAAUGGGCGCAAGCCUGAACCAGCCAUCCCGCGUGCAGGAAGACGGCGCUAUGCGUUGUAAACUGCUUUUCCAGGGAGAGAAACUUGCGCACGUGUUGCGCAAUUGACGGUACCCUGGGAAUAAGCAUCGGCUAACUCCGUGCCAGCAGCCGCGGUAAUACGGAGGAUGCGAGCGUUAUCCGGAUUCAUUGGGUUUAAAGGGUGCGUAGGCGGACUAUUAAGUCAGUGGUGAAAUCCUGCAGCUUAACUGCAGAACUGCCAUUGAUACUGAUAGCCUUGAGUGUGGUUAAGGUAGGCGGAAUGUGUAAUGUAGCGGUGAAAUGCUUAGAUAUUACACAGAACACCAAUUGCGUAGGCAGCUUACUGAGCCGACACUGACGCUGAGGCACGAAAGCGUGGGGAUCGAACAGGAUUAGAAACCCGGGUAGUCC
rnacentral:rRNA from 1 species